rnacentral:rRNA from 1 species
UGGAGCAUGUGGUUUAAUUCGAAGCAACGCGAAGAACCUUACCAGGUCUUGACAUCCCCUGACAACCCGAGAGACUCGGGCGUUCCCCUUCGGGGGGACAGGGUGACAGGUGGCGCAUGGUUGUCGUCAGCUCGUGUCGUGAGAUGUUGGGUUAAGUCCCGCAACGAGCGCAACCCUCGACCUUAGUUGCCAGCAUUCAGUUGGGCACUCUAAGGUGACUGCCGGCUAAAAGUCGGAGGAAGUGGGGAUGACGUCAAAUCAUCAUGCCCCUUAUGACCUGGGCUACACACGUGCUACAAUGGGCGGUACAAAGGGUAGCGAUGCCGCGAGGUGAAGCCAAUCCCAAAAAGCCGUCCACAGUUCGGAUUGGAGUCUGCAACUCGACUCCAUGAAGCCGGAAUCGCUAGUAAUCGCAGGUCAGCAUACUGCGGUGAAUACGUUCCCGGGUCUU